rnacentral:rRNA from 1 species
GACGAACGCUGGCGGCAUGCCUAAUACAUGCAAGUCGAGCGAAUGAUGAAGAAGCUUGCUUCUUCUGAUUUAGCGGCGGACGGGUGAGUAACACGUGGGCAACCUACCCUAUAGAUUGGGAUAACACAGGGAAACCUGUGCUAAUACCGAAUAAUACAUUUUCUUUCAUGAGAAGAUGUUGAAAGAUGGUUUCGGCUAUCACUAUAGGAUGGGCCCGCGGCGCAUUAGCUAGUUGGUGAGGUAAUGGCUCACCAAGGCAGCGAUGCGUAGCCGACCUGAGAGGGUGAUCGGCCACACUGGGACUGAGACACGGCCCAGACUCCUACGGGAGGCAGCAGUAGGGAAUCUUCCACAAUGGGCGAAAGCCUGAUGGAGCAAUGCCGCGUGAGUGAUGAAGGAUUUCGGUUCGUAAAACUCUGUUGUAAGGGAAGAACAAGUAGCGUAGUAACUGGCGUUACCUUGACGGUACCUUAUUAGAAAGCCACGGCUAACUACGUGCCAGCAGCCGCGGUAAUACGUAGGUGGCAAGCGUUGUCCGGAAUUAUUGGGCGUAAAGCGCGCGCAGGUGGUUCCUUAAGUCUGAUGUGAAAGCCCACGGCUCAACCGUGGAGGGUCAUUGGAAACUGGGGAACUUGAGUGCAGAAGAGGAUAGUGGAAUUCCUAGUGUAGCAGUGAAAUGCGUAGAGAUUAGGAGGAACACCAGUGGCGAAGGCGACUUACUGGACUGUAACUGACACUGAGGCAUGAAAGCGUGGGGGAGCAAACAGGAUUAGAUACCCUGGUAGUCCACGCCGUAAACGAUGGGUACUA